rnacentral:rRNA from 1 species
AUUGAACGCUGGCGGAAUGCUUUACACAUGCAAGUCGAACGGCAGCACGGGGGCAACCCUGGUGGCGAGUGGCGAACGGGUGAGUAAUACAUCGGAACGUGCCCGGUCGUGGGGGAUAACGUAGCGAAAGUUACGCUAAUACCGCAUACGAUCUGAGGAUGAAAGCGGGGGACCUUCGGGCCUCGCGCGAUCGGAGCGGCCGAUGUCAGAUUAGGUAGUUGGUGGGGUAAAGGCCUACCAAGCCGACGAUCUGUAGCUGGUCUGAGAGGACGACCAGCCACACUGGGACUGAGACACGGCCCAGACUCCUACGGGAGGCAGCAGUGGGGAAUUUUGGACAAUGGGCGCUAGCCUGAUCCAGCCAUUCCGCGUGCAGGACGAAGGCCUUCGGGUUGUAAACUGCUUUUGUAUGGAACGAAAAGGCUCUGGCUAAUACCUGGGGCUCAUGACGGUACCGUAAGAAUAAGCACCGGCUAACUACGUG